AGACAUUCCAUGUUCAUGGAUUGUAAGGCUUAACAAUGUUAAAUAAACAAGUUCCCAUCGUGGCUCAGUGGUUAACGAAUCUGACUAGGAACCAUGAGGUUGCGGGUUUGAUUCCUGGCCUUGCUCAUGGGUUAAGCUUCCGUCAUGGCCAUGAGCUGUGGUGUAGGUCACAGACAUAUCUCAGAUCCUGCAUUGCUGUGGCUGUGGUUUAGGCUGGCAGCUGCAGCUCCAAUUAGACCUCUAGCCUGGGAACUUCCAUAUGCCCUAAAAAGCAAAAAAAAAAAANAAAAAAAAAAAAAAAAGAAAAAAAGAAAAAGCAGAGUAUAUUUGCAAGAUUCACACUUCCUAAAUUCAUACCUUACAACAAGGCAACAGUAAUCAAGACAGUUACCACAGGACCCAGUAAUUUACUCGUACUUAAUUGACAGAAGGAUAGAAAUGUAGCUCUAUGGGAUUUCCCUGUGGCUCACAGCGUAACUACUCAGCGUUGCUUCUACUGUGGCUGUGGCUCAAUCCCUGGCUCAGAAACUUCCAUAUGCCAACAUGCUAUUACGUUUAGAAUGGAUAAGCAAUGAGGUCCUACUGUACGGCACAGGGAACUAUAUCCAAUCACUUGCAAUAGAACAUGAUGGAAGAUAAUAUGAGAAAAAGUGUACACAUAUGUACAACUGAGUCACUUCUCUGUGCAGCAGAAAUUGGCACAACAUUGUAAAGCAACUAUAAUAAAAAUUUUUUUGAAAAAGGGAAAUUUAGGAGUUCCUGUUGUGGCUCAGUGGUUAACCAAAUCCGACUAGGAACCAUGAGGUCGCGGGUUCAAUCCCUGGCAUUGCUCAGUGGGUUAACGAUCCGGCGUUGCCGUGAGCUGUGGUGUAGGUCACAGAUGCGGCUCGGAUCCCGCGUUGCUAUGGCUCUGGUGUAGGCUGGCAGCUACAGCUCCGGUUAGACCCCUAGCCUGGGGACCUCCAUAUGCCAUGGGAGCGGCCCAAGAAAUGGCAAAAAAGACCAAAAAAAAAAAAAAAAAAAAAGAAAGAAAGAAAAAUGGAAAUUUAGAUCUAUGGAAUUGAGAACCAAGAAAUAAAAUAUAAAUAUGUAAAAUAGAAUAAAAUAAAUUGAUUUUGACGAUGAUACGAAAAUAAUUAAAUGGGCAAAGAGUAGCCUUCCAACAAACAGUGCUGGAAAAGAAUUAGGCUAUCUCUACCUCUCAUUGUAUACAUUUGACUCAAGGAGUUCCUGUGGUGGCAGAGCAGAAAUGAAUCAGACUAGGAACCAUGAGAUUGCAGGUUUGAUCCCUGGCCUCGCUCAGUGGGUUAAGGAUCUGGCAUUGCCGUGAGCUGUGGUGUAGGUCACAGAUGCAGCUUGGAUCCUGCAUUGCUGCGGCUGUGGUGUAGGCCAUCGGCUGUAGCUCUGAUUCAAACUCUAGCCCUGGAACCUCCACAUGCUGCAGGUGCAGCCCUAAAAAGCAAAAACAAAACAAAUUUAACUCAAGCUGGAGUUCCCAUUGUGGCUUAGCAGUAACAAACCCACCUAAUAUCCAUGAGGAUGUGGGUUCAAUUCCUGGCCUUGCUCAGUGGGUAAAGAAUCUGGCAUUGCCAUGAGCUGCAGUGUAGUUCACAGAUGUGGCUCAGAUCUGGUGUUGCUGUGGCUAUGGCGUAGGUCUGCAGCUACAGCUCUGAAUUGACCCCUAGGCUGGGAACUUCCAUAUGCCACAGGUUUUACCCAAAAAAGACCAAAAAAAAAAAA
rnacentral:lncRNA from 1 species